AAGAAAAGCAGCGUAUGCAAAUUGUGAACAUAGUUUGGGCUAAUUCUUGAAUAGCCCAAUUUAUAUUCCAUACGGCACGGGUCAUCGUUGAAUUUCAUAAAUUCCUGCGGCGUUCGUUCUCAAAUACCCUAAUUCCUUCUAUAUAUUUACCCACAAUCAUAAACCCUAACAUAUACUCAGCAACUUCGAAAGCCAACAUGUGUUUUCUUCUUCGCCGCGCCAUUGUUGUUUGAUUUGGCCAGUGAUGUACUCAUUGCACGUAUUACCAGAUAUAUAGUUUGAUGAUCAAUGCUAAUUGUCACUACCGCUGAGGCCAUUUCCUACCUUUUGAUUUUAUUUGAAAGCAUGAAGCCUAAUGAUGUUCAUAAAGAACGGAGAUUUGAAAGUUGGUUUUGUAGAAGCCUUUGUGAAAGUAAGGGCUCCAAAAGCAUCGUAUGAAAAAAACCGUUUUAUGUUGGUAUCAAUGAAGGCUUGUUUGUGAAUUCUGGGCAAACAUCCUUUUUACAUGUUUGGUUUAUUUUGUUUUGAACAAUUAAAUUUGUU